CAAGGGGAAGGAAGAAGCAGCCAUCAGAGGAGGAGGAGGAGGAGGAGGAGGAGGGAGGAAGAAGAGGCAGGUUUCGCUCCUCCACUGGGUCUCCUCAAAGGACCGAGAGAGUGACGUCCGGCAAAUCGCUCAGCAGUGCUUUCGAGGGCUCUCCCAGGCACUGCUCAAGAACCAGGACCGGGCAGGCAAGGUGAACGACCCUUCCAUCUUCCCUGACCUCUGCACGUCGCACCGCAAGAACUUAAUGCACAUGUUGCGGAACCACCAGAAGUGGGCCUCGGAGCUCAGCAGGGACAGCAGGGAGGUGGGGAAGCAAGAGGUUGAAAGCAGGAGGGAAUUUCUGCUGGAUUUCUCGACCCAUUUCCUGGCCUCUCUCUUCCGCCUGAUUUCGCCACGAGACUCCCCG